GCGAGUUUUAAUGCGUUAACAUUAGAAGCGUCACGAAGAAGAAGUGUAUACAAUGGAGUGCGAACGAUGUGCGAGUGCUGGGCCAAGUAGGCGACAAAGGAAAACAGAAUGCGAUCGACGGCGACGGCCUGCCGACACUGAAGAGCAACGAUGCAGAGCUCCGCCAGACCCUGGACUAUGUGCAGAUUAUAUCGAAAGAUACUUUUACAACUGCUCUUCCGGGCAAUGUGAAAGAUUCUUCUACAGCGGCUGCAAGGGAAACUGCAACAACUUUGAGACCUACGAAGACUGCGCAAGAAUAUGUACUCGCAUGUAGCCUUAGCACGAAAAGCACGCAUGCACUUCGUAUCAAGAAUAAAACACACUAUGUUUCUUUAA